GCACUGGACUGACGCUCAUGCACGAAAGCGUGGGUAUCGAACAGGAUUAGAUACCCUGGUAGUCCACGCGGUAAACGAUGAUAACUAGUUAUCCGGCCUAAUUGGGGGCUGGGUGACCGAGCGAAAGCGUUAAGUUAUCCACCUGGGGAGUACGCCGGCAACGGUGAAACUCAAAGGAAUUGACGGGGGCCCGCACAAGCGGAGGAACAUGUGGUUUAAUUCGAUGAUACGCGAGGAACCUUACCCGGGCUCAAACGCGAGGCGCUACACCCUGAAAGGGGUGGUUCUUCGGACGUCUUGCGAGGUGCUGCAUGGUUGUCGUCAGCUCGUGCCGUGAGGUGUCGGCUUAAGUGCCAUAACGAGCGCAACCCCCAUCUUCAGUUGCCAUCGGGUCAAGCCGGGCACUCUGGAGAGACUGCCGGCGCAAGCUGUGAGGAAGGCGGGGAUGACGUCAAAUCAGCACGGCCCUUACGUCCGGGGCGACACACGUGUUACAAUGGCGGGGCUACAGAGGGGAGCCAGGCGGCGACGCCGAGCUGAUCCCGAAAACCCGUCUCAGUUCGGAUCGGAGUCUGCAACCCGACUCCGUGAAGCUGGAUU
rnacentral:rRNA from 1 species